rnacentral:rRNA from 1 species
GACGAACGCUGGCGGCGUGCUUAACACAUGCAAGUCGAACGGAAAGGCCCUGCUCUUGUGGGGUGCUCGAGUGGCGAACGGGUGAGUAACACGUGAGUAAACUGCCCUUGACAUAGGGAUAACACCAGGAAACUGGGGCGAAUACCGGAUAGGAGCUCCUGCAGCGUGGGGGGGGAAGGAAAGAGUCGGCGGUGGGGGAUGGUCUCGCGGCUUAUCAGCUGGAUGGUGGGGUAGUGGAGGACAAAGGCUACGACGGGUAGCCGGCCUGAGAGGGUGACCGGCCUCAUUGCGACUGCGAUACGCCCCAGACUCCUACGGUCGGCAGCAGUCGGGAAUAUUGCACAAUGGGCGGACGUCUGUUGCAGCAACGCCCCGUUCGGGAUGACCUCCUUCUGGUUGUAAACCGCUUUCGCCUUUGCCGAAGCGUGCGUGACGGUACUGGGUCAGGAAGCCCCGGCUAACUACGUG